AUGGUGGCACCGACGCGGGGGCGGGGGCGGUUCGUGGUGGAGAAGAGCAGCGUGAGGGUGCUGGCGCCGGAGCACAUCCGAGGUCACCACGACGCUGCCAUCGGCAACUUCGGGGUGCCCGACUAUGGCGGCACGCUCACGGGCGCCGUGCUCUACCCAUACAAGAAGGCCACCGGAUACACCGAGUUCCCGGCCAGGUUCAACUCCAAGUCCGGCCGCCCCGUCGUCCUCCUGCUCGACCGCGGAGACAUUGCUGAUGUGCAACUGUGCGAGCCUGAAUUGUCCGAUGAUAUACGGUGCCACCGAAUUUAG
rnacentral:rRNA from 1 species